UACGUAGGGGCAAGCGUUUGUCCGGAUUCAUUGGGCGUAAAGAGCGUGUAGGCGGCCAGAAAAGUCCGCUGUGAAAACUCGAGGCUCAACUUCGAGCUGUCGGUGGAAACUUUCUGGCUAGAGUCCGGAAGAGGAGAAUGGAAUUCCUGGUGUAGCGGUGAAAUGCGCAGAUAUCAGGAGGAACACCAGUGGCGAAGGCGGC
rnacentral:rRNA from 1 species